CCGAGUGCGGGCCCUCGCGGCCCAACCUCCCACCCUUGUCUCCAUACACCUGUUGCUUUGGCGGGCCCACCGGGGCCACCUGGUCGCCGGGGGGACGUCGUCUCCGGGCCCGCGCCCGCCGAAGCGCUCUGUGAACCCUGAUGAAGAUGGGCUGUCUGAGUACUAUGAAAAUUGUCA
rnacentral:misc_RNA from 1 species